rnacentral:misc_RNA from 1 species
GAUGAAGAACGUAGCGAAAUGCGAUAAGUAAUGUGAAUUGCAGAAUUCAGUGAAUCAUCGAAUCUUUGAACGCACAUUGCGCCCGCCAGUAUUCUGGCGGGCAUGCCUGUUCGAGCGUCAUUUCAACCAUCAAGCCCCAGGCUUGUGUUGGGGACCUGCGGCUGCCGCAGGCCCUGAAAACCAGUGGCGGGCUCGCUGUCACACCGGGCGUAGUAGAUUUUAUCUCGCUCAGGGCGUGCUGCGGGUUCCGGCCGUUAAAAAGCCUUUUUUACCCAAGGUUGACCUCGGAUCAGGUAGGAAGACCCGCUGAACUUAAGCAUAUCAAUAAGCGAAGGA